rnacentral:sRNA from 1 species
AUAAACCGUUUGGAUCGGGUCUGGAAUUUCUGAGCGGUCGCGAGUUCCCCGCGCCAGCGG